rnacentral:rRNA from 1 species
GGCAAAGGGUGAGUAACGCAUAGGUAAUCUGCCUUAUGGUUCGGAAUAACCUUGCGAAAGCGAGGUUAAUACCGGAUAACAUCCUUGGCACAUAAGUGUCGAGGAUUAAAGCUGGGGACCCCAACAGGGCCUGGCGCCAAAAGAGGAGCCUGUGUCCUAUCAGCUUGUUGGUAGGGUAACGGCCUACCAAGGCUAAGACGGGUAGCUGGUCUGAGAGGAUGGUCAGCCACACUGGGACUGAGACACUGCCCAGACUCCUACGGGAGGCUGCAGUCGAGAAUCUUUUGCAAUGGGCGAAAGCCUGACAAUGCGACGCCGCGUGAGCGACGAAGCCCUUCGGGGUGUAAAGCUCUGUCAGUCCGGAUGAAUAUCCGUUUUAUAAUAUAGAACGGAGAUGACAGUACGGGCAGAGGAAGCCACGGCUAACUCCGUGCCAGCAGCCGCGGUAAUACGGAGGUGGCAAGCGUUGUUCGGAUUUAUUGGGUGUAAAGGGUGGUGUAGGUGUCUUGAUAAGUCGAACGUGAAAUCCCUUGGCUCAACCAAGGAAGUGCAUUCGAUACUGUCAGGAUUGAGCAUGGAAGAGGAGAGUGGAAUUCCCGGUGUAAGGGUGAAAUCUGUAGAUAUCGGGAGGAACACCAGUGGCGAAAGCGGCUCUCUGGUCCAAUGCUGACACUGAAACACGAAAGCUAAGGGAGCAAACAGGAUUAGAUACCCUGGUAGUCUUAGCAGUAAACGAUGGA